CUGGGGAGAAAGAUAAAUGGAGAGAGAGGUACACUGGAGGGUGUGAAGGGGGCGGGGGGGGAAGGAACACCAGCGAAGUCCAGACCAGGUUCCCAUAGCACAGACGCAAUUGGUUCUCCAGAGGCUGCUCUGCCAAGACCUCAGAGACGCUAGUCGCCCACAGAGAAGCGGCGGUGACAACAACAACUACUACUGGCAGGCUCUCGGGGGCCGGAGGGCAAAGAGCUGGGACUCCGCACACACCUCUGGCCUCGGGGACGUCUUGGCUGUAAAGGGCUAGGGCCCUGUCCGCAAGCCCCGAACUAGGCUGGCUCUCCUCCUUGUCCAGCAGAGCCCCUCGGAGAAGCGAGGGAACCCAGGAACAGGCUCGGUGCAGCCGCCAAGAGCUACGGAAAAACUUCGCCCGGGCACAGCUUCCCCGGGGACACGGCGGAGCCAAGGGCAGGGAGCUGGGACAACACCGGUGCCGGUGGGGCAAGGCGCGCUGGGAGCGGAGGUGGGACGCGGAGGCCGGGGGUCCCGAGGAAGGCGUCCUGGCAAUCCAGCCCCCUGUCCAGUCCAGUAGGUCCCUCCAAAAACACUUCUCGGAAACUGCACCGAAGAAGCGGCCCCUUCUCCCCGCGCCCCGGGGCUAGCUAGCUCUGCUCAUCCCCCGCACCUGGGAGCCGGCUCAGGGCCUGGAAAGGGCAGCGGGAACAGAGGUUUCUUUUCUGUGGCCCCGCGCGCGAGGUCGCAGAUUCCAGGAGACCGAGUCUGUGAGCUCGCAAGCCUGCCUGGCGGGCUCUGUCGCUGUCGGGUCCCGACUACGCUCACUGUUGCGGUCACUGUACGGCGAGACUCCGACCAGCGCUUCCGCGCUCACAUUUGCGGACCCGAACGAAGAUCUGCCAAACCCCCAGCCCCCUCGCCUACCACCGCCACCGCCACCAGUCUGAGUCUUCGUCCUUUCGUUCCUAAAGUCAGGAGUUGUAUUUAGAAGCAGCCCAGGAAUACAAAGAACCAAGGGGCAAUAAGAACUAAAAGCAAGGGGCGCCUGGGUGGCUCCGUUGGUUGGGCGACUGCCUUCCGCUCCGGUCGUGAUCCUGAAGUCCCGGGAUGGUGUCCCACAUCCAUGGGAGUCUGUUUAUCCCGACUCUGACCUUCUCCCCUCUCAUGCUCUCUCUCACUGUCUCUCUCUCACAUAAAUAAAAUCUUAAAAACAAAAACAAAAACAAAAAAACCCUGAAAACAUAAAAAAGGAAGUACUCUGUGUUGAAUCCUAGUAAACAUAAUUUAAGUAAAAAAUGUGCCUCCUUCCCCACCCCCCAUAACUCUUCACUAUGCUUUGGAUUAAAGAAGGCAAAAAUGUAAAGCAGCAACUAAUACAGAUGUUUCCCUUUGA